ensembl:lncRNA
CAAGAGAUUGCCGUGGAAGAGCCUGUUGUCCGUAUAUUUAUAUAUUUCCGAAAUCACAUUGUAGUGACGUGUACUGAACACAAUAUAUUAUAUAAUGUAAACAACUACCUGAGAAACAGCAGAUACAGCAGAUAAAUUAAUUAUAGGCCAUUACUUUUGUAUCGUUUAUUGCAUUUAUGGAGGGAGAGGUGUAUGCUGGGUAAUGGCACAGCUAGCGACCGGGUGACUUUAUUCACCCGCUUCGGCUGUUAUCAGUCCAUACAAUGGGCGUUAUUAGCAGAAAUCAGUCCCAUAGAUAUGGGCCAUCAUGGGCCAUCCACCUGCUAGAUUGUUCAGAAGGUUGUUAUCAUCCAUCCAGAUGGAGGAUCACUAACAGGAGCGUGGGAAGACUCCAGAAUCCACUCUGGCUGGAAUCCGGUGGAUACAGCAGUGUUACAGGUGUGGGGAUAAUAUGUAAGACUGCAGUGAAGCGAUGUACCAGAUGAAUCCCUGGCCAAAGAACAGUUCGCCACAGUCGCUGUCCACAUGGGUCAGUGGGACCAAGCAGCACUCUGCUAAUGUGUGGACUCUGACCAGCAACAUCCAGCAAGACCCAGGCAGCGUUUUCUAUCUCCCAGCUGGAGUUUUGUUUGUGACGGGAGAGUCAGAUUUUUGUUGAAGCUGGAGGAACAGCCUCACACUUGCAGAGGUUAAUACACGCUACUGAUCCCUGAUGGGAGAAUCAUCACCUCUGCCAACAAAGAAGCCUGGUGGAUGUUUGUUUGCAGUCUGAUGAUGGGACAUCAUGCUCUGCAUCUUCAAAGUUUGUCUCUUGAUUAUUAUUCAUACACAGUAAUGUGAAGUAUGCUCAUAUCUAGUAUAACUGGACCAACCUGGUGCUCUUCAUUUAUGGAGGCUGUUGAGUCUGAAUGUUGGAUGUUGUGUAUCUCGUGUUCUCUGGGCUUUGUUGUCCUCAGUCUUUUUGCAGGAUCAGAAAACAAAACCAGGAGGCCUGUAAAUGUUUCUUCUCCAAUUGGAUGAUGAUAAGACUGUGACAUGGGAUGCCACCUUUAGUCUUGUGAUGAAGCAAAGCUCAGGAAGAAGUGUGAUUAAAUGGUACCCACAUGUGUGCUGCUGAGAAGGAUGUACAGGGGCACCUGCAGCCAAAUCCAAGCCGCCUCAGAGCAGAGCGGCCGUUUGUGCUCACAGAUGGUGACGGUGUGGAGAGACGGUGGUGUUUCCUCAGAAGAACUAGCAGAGUCACAAAGGGCACGAGUCCAUCUCACCACCUUGACUUGCUGACUGAUGCUCGUCUGCACUGCACAGAGGAAAUCAACUGACCGAGGAGUGUUUCUGGGUGAGGGAGAGAGGAGUCAUCAUCCAGGUAAAGUGACGUGGAUCAGUGGACACACUUGUCUCCACUUUAAAGGAGACGAUCCGAGUCAUCCCUAAAUAUGGGCAGGAUAUCAGUCUUGGACUGUCUGACCUGCAGGAGCAGCACUGAAUGAUCACCACACAUGAUCAGUUUUGCUUUUGUGUCAAAUGUCAACCAGCUGGAGAGGAAACUACACCAGUGUACUGGGAUGUUUCACCAACACGUGCCAGACGCUAUUCCUUCAUGGUGACAUCACCAGAGACAGCCCCGCCCACCUCAGGACCUCGCCAUUGAUCAUGAUGGUUAUAAUGAUGACAGCGAGCGGAACUAAGACUGUAAAAAUCCAUGACCAGAAUGUUUAGAUGCUUUCUAAUUAUUCAUGAAUACUGAGAGCCUCUUUCUGUGUUUUGUCUGGUUUGGGGUUGUUGUUUUUUUACCUCAUUUGUUACUAACAAAGUUCACCAAACUCACACAGUUUACAUUCUGUAUGUUUCCAUCUUUACCAGCCACACUCUUAACUGCAAUUAAGCAAAUAAUCCUCGGAAAUCGUCGUUUUUCUCUUUUGUAAUUUUGUAAUUCAGUGAAUAUACUGCGCUGCUUCCUUUUAUUGCGUCACACAUUGCUUUAAGUUUUUCAGUGUUCAGUUAUUUUUUUACUGCUGUUUGAAUUCUCUGUAUGUUUGACCCUGUAGACUGUUUGAUGGACUGCUUGUCUUCCUGUUUGUAACCGCUGCCUGUUUUUGACUAAAGAUUUGGAUUUCUGACUUUAACACAGCCUCUGCGUGUCCUCCCUU